CGGGACUGGAACCGGCACUUGGCACCCCUUACGCCUUACGGUGGCCGCUGCGCCCAGUCACAUCUAUUGCAUUUCUCUGGAAUGACCACAGCAAUAUUUCCAGCCCUUGAUGAUCUUCUAGAACUUUGCCACUUCCCUGCAUCAAGAGACUAACCAGAAUUGGCUACAGUUUCUUCAAGAAAAUACCCCAAUGGAAGAAAAAAAGGUGGAGGGAGAAACUGAAUGAAGAAAGGAUGAUUUGAAAUUACCAGAAAGUGGAACGUGGAAAAAACAGAGUAAAACUAGUUUGAGAAUAAAAUCUUAGGUUGUAACAUCUUCUGGGAAUUUAUUCUUUAAAUAUUGCUUUUAACUGGAUUCUUUGGUAAAUAGUAAAUGCAUUUUGGUUUUGAUUUAAGCAGCUCAUUCUUUUGUUUCUUCACUUCUCCAAUAAACUUGCUCUCACUUAAAAAAUGCCUUGUAGAACAACUCAUGAUAAUUAUUACUGUUGGGAAAUAGGAGAA
rnacentral:lncRNA from 1 species